AGUGCAGUGACAACUGCAGUUAGCUGCAUUGGGUUCACAGUUACAUCCAGCUGCACCCCCGCAUUGAAAGAUCUUGCCGAUAAUUUUUACAAGGCAUCUUUCAGCCUCACAGCUUGUGGAAUACAAUCGCAUGCGUAUCUUUCCUUGUAUGGCGAUGACGUCGCAUGCAGUGGGCGUAACCUGUACCAGAAUGCUGCGUUAUGGCUUGCACUUUUGUGCAUCUUUGUAGGAAAAAUGCUGUAACUGUAGAUAUCUACAUGUAAUUUGAAAAGUACACAGUUGGGCACCACAUUAGAAUUAUUUCUUUUUGAAGUACAUUAUACAUGCGUCUACACAAAACACCAAUGACAUUGGCAGCACUGUACAGUUAUGAACAGAAAUCGGCACACAGGAAGUAACUUAGACACAAUCGCCACCCCACAUACUUAACCAUCGGGUAAAAUAGGCUUCAAAAUGCUUAAGAAUAAAAGUGGAUCUACGAAAAGAUUAAAACUACCAGCAAGAGAAGCAUAAACACAAUAAUGAUGUCUUGCUGAACCAUCUUCGAAGAUAUGAAAAAAUAGAUUAGUAACAUCUUGAAUUGAAUGAACUUGGAUAUCUUUUACGAACAACAAAAUGGCGCAAUCAGAUAGAAAGUUACAAUAACUUAAAAAAAGACAAAGAGCUAUUCAAGAAAGGGAUUCGGAGUGUCUCUUGGGUGUGUGAUUUGUGUGAUUUGCGAAUAUAGUUUUUAAUCAAAUUGUCAUCGAUAAUAUGUGCCUAUCUGAAAUAUUACAGUUGUAUUCCAAUCACUCCAUAAAACAAUGUAAUCAGUGACAUAUUAUAUAUUUGUUAUAAUGUUCUAUAUAUAUUGUGCAAUUCUUUAUAAUAAAUAAAUAUAUCACCGUCUGUACUUAAA